UGGGGAAUUUUGCGCAAUGGGCGAAAGCCUGACGCAGCAACGCCGCGUGAGUGAUGAAGGCCCUCGGGUCGUAAAGCUCUGUCAGAGGGGAAGAAACUUUUGGGGGAGAAUAUCCCUUGAAACUGACGGUACCCUCAAAGGAAGCACCGGCUAACUCCGUGCCAGCAGCCGCGGUAAUACGGAGGGUGCAAGCGUUGUUCGGAAUUAUUGGGCGUAAAGCGCGUGUAGGCGGCUAUUUAAGUCUGAUGUGAAAGCCCGGGGCUCAACCCCGGAAGUGCAUUGGAAACUGGAUAGCUUGAGUACGGGAGAGGGUAGUGGAAUUUCGAGUGUAGGGGUGAAAUCCGUAGAUAUUCGAAGGAACACCGGUGGCGAAGGCGGCUACCUGGACCGAUACUGACGCUGAGACGCGAAAGCGUGGGGAGCAAACAG
rnacentral:rRNA from 1 species